rnacentral:rRNA from 1 species
CAGAUUUGAUCCUGGCUCAGGAUGAACGCUAGCUACAGGCUUAACACAUGCAAGUCGAGGGGAAACGACAUCGAAAGCUUGCUUUUGAUGGGCGUCGACCGGCGCACAGGUGAGUAACGCGUAUCCAACCUGCCCAUCACUUGGGGAUAACCUUGCGAAAGUAAGACUAAUACCCAAUGACGUCUCUAGAAGACAUCUGAAAGAGAUUAAAGAUUUAUCGGUGAUGGAUGGGGAUGCGUCUGAUUAGCUUGUUGGCGGGGUAACGGCCACCAAGGCGACGAUCAGUAGGGGUUCUGAGAGGAAGGUCCCCCACAUUGGAACUGAGACACGGUCCAAAUCCUACGGGAGCA